UUGCCUUCCCGCUGCCGAUGCCACACUCUACCAAGCCCAACAUGGCACGUUCGUCCCAUCUCGUCGUUUCCACCGCCACCGCUCUGCUCCUCCUCCUCCUGUCGACGUGCUCCUGCCGCGCGGCGAGCAGCAGCGGCAAGAACCCGACCGCCGUGGUGCUGCCGGUGCGCAAGGACGGCGCGACGAGUCAGUACGUGACCAGCUUCCGGCAGCGCACUCCGCAGACGCCCGUGACGGCGGUGCUCGACCUGGGCGGCGCCACACUCUGGGUGGACUGCGACCCCGGGUCGUACGCGUCCUCCUCCUACGCCCGCGUGCCGUGCGCGUCCAAGCCGUGCCGCCUGGCCCGCACGGCCGCCUGCGCCACCAGCUGCGUCGGCGCGCCGUCGCCCGGGUGCCUCAACGACACCUGCGGCGGGUUUCCCGAGAACACCGUCACGCGCGUCGCCACCGGCGGCAACCUCAUCACCGACGUGCUGUCGGUGCCCACCACCUUCCGCCCGACGCCGGGGCCGCUCGCCGCCGCGCCGGCGUUCCUGUUCGCCUGCGGCGCCAAGUUCCUCACCGAGGGCCUCGCGUCUGGCGCCGCCGGCAUGGCGUCGCUCAGCCGCGCCCGCUUCGCGCUCCCCACGCAGCUCGCCGCCACGUUCCGCUUCUCGCCCAAGUUCGCGCUCUGCCUCCCCUCGACCACCUCGGCCGGGGUCGUCGUCUUCGGGGACGCGCCCUACGCGUUCCAGCCCGGGGUGGACCUCUCCGCCGGCUCGCUCCUCUACACGCCGCUCCUCGUCAACAACGUGAGCACCGCGGGGGUCUCGAGCAAGGGGGACAAAUCAACGGAGUACUUCAUCGGCGUGACGGCCAUCAAGGUGAACGGCCGUGUUGUGCCGCUCAACGCCACGCUGCUGGGAAUCGACAAGCAGGGCGUGGGAGGCACCAAGCUGAGCACGGUCGCGCCCUACACCGUGCUGGAAACCUCCAUCCACAGGGCCGUCACGGACGCGUUCGCGGCGGAGACGGCCAUGAUCCCUCGCGUGGCCGCCGUGGCGCCGUUCAGGCUCUGCUACGACGGGAGCAAGGUGGGGAGCACCCGCGUGGGCCCGGCCGUGCCCACCCUCGAGCUGGUGCUGCAGAACGAGGCCACGUCGUGGGUGGUGUUCGGGGCCAACUCGAUGGUGCCAGCCAAGGGCGGCGCGCUCUGCCUCGGCGUGGUAGACGGCGGCCCCGCCCCGCGGACGUCGGUGGUGGUCGGCGGCCUCAUGAUGGAGGACAACCUGCUGGAGUUCGACCUGCAGCGGUCGCGCCUCGGGUUCAGCUCAUCCCUGCUCUUCCGGCAGACAACUUGCAACAACUUCCGCCUCGGGUAGGAAUGGCUGCAGCCUGUACCUGUAAGUACGUCCGAGUUCGUUUCUUUGUGUAUCUCGGCCCUGGGUUUUGACUACUUGAAUAAUCAAUAAGUUUAUGUGGCAGCUAAGUGGUAAUGCACAGACGCACAGUCAACUCAAGCAGAAGAUUUGCUCUGGAAUUAGACCUUCAGGUCAAUACAAUUGGCUUGGACUCAAGUUGGGCGAGGUUGCACUAUGCCGGCUUCAGAUCGGCUACAAUAUUUCAAAUGUUAAAUUUGACUUUGAGGGGAACACCGCGACUGAGUUGGAAUGAGAGGUA